ACACACCUUUGAGUUAAAUCAGGGGUUAAUAAGAAGAAAAUAAUUCUGAGAAAUAUACGUUCGUUCUUAAGAUGGCAUAAAUAUUAAACUGUAUUCACACAAUACUUUUUCUGGAAAACGCAAACUUUUUUUCACAUUUAUAUGUAGACAUUUUAGGCCAGGCGUGGUGGCUCACGCCUGUAAUCCCAACACUUUGGGAGGCCGAGGUGGACAGAUCGCUUCAGGUCAGGAAUUCGAAACAAGCCUGGCCAACAUGGUGAAACCCCAUCUCUACUAAAAAUUCAAAAAAAUUAGCUGGGCACGGUGGCACACGCUUGUAAUUCCAGCUGCUGGGAGGCUGAGGGACUUCGUCUCAAUCAAUCAAUCAAUAAAUAAAGCACUUUUUCUAAAAUCA
ensembl:lncRNA novel transcript